rnacentral:rRNA from 1 species
AAUUAAUAUAACCAAGUAUGGUUGAGUCUUGGAGAUGAAUAGGUAACAAUUAUGCAUAUGGUCCCAGCAGCCGCGGUAAAACCAAUGAAGAGACGAGUGUUAUCCAGACCAGGCAUAAACAGUG